UCCAAUUUGCUAGCCAUGUUCUCUCUCCUAACCCAACACAGACGUUUCUUCUCCUCCCUUUCCUCUUCUUCACAAAAUUCCAUCCUUCCUCAGCCAUGGCAGAACUUGCCAUUACCAUUUUUGAACAAGAAGCUCUGCACCUCAUUUAAUUUUCUUCAACAUCAAUGUUUAAAUUUCAAAUAAUAAUUUUUCACUCAAUUUCGAAAUCCCGCCCAAAUCAAGAACCCUAGAAAUCAGCCUAUAAAUACCCACCUUUGAAGAGAUUUUCGACCAAGCUUCAGCCCCCUCCUUUAACCUGAGGCUCUUGGCCGCCCACUUUCACCCCCAAAGUUGGAAGCUCUGAGCCGCCCCAUUUGACCCCCUAAACACCGUAUGAUUCACCGGCCACCUCUCAGAAGAUCACUAUAUUUGUGCUUUCGCUACUCAAAAUUUUCUUUAAUAAUUUAGUGUUAUCCUUUUGCAACCUUUUCAACUUCUGUUUGGUUUUCUCUUAGCCAUAAAAGAGCCAUUAAUUUGCUCGCUUCAAUGUUUUCUUAGUCGUUUGUAGUAGCGGGUUCGAGGUCGGAGUUCGAUAGUGCACCUAAGACCCCCGCCUCAGUUCGCUGCCCUGCAAAAGGUUUGUAGAUUCUUCUCUUGCUCUCGUUUUCCUCUUUUUUUAUUAGAGCAUGGUCAUACUUGAUGUGUGCUUGUUUUAAGUGUCGUUAGUUUCUGUAUUGAGACCACAAACGUAGGUGUUCAACCUUAUGCCUGUUUAAUAUAAUGGAAUGAUUCUAUACUUAAACAGUUAUUAAAACUAAUGUUUUUAAGGAGAUUAUAUUCUUGCGCUUAUUCUUUGCAACAUACUUGACUGAUAUUUGAUAAAAUGCUUACAUGAAUUUACUUUGUUUUUCUUUGUAUACUUCUCUGUUAGAUGUCAUAAUUUAAGAAAGAGUUUCUUUUAUGAAUUAGGUACGUAAGAAAAGAUUCAUUACUAAUUGUGAUUUAAAACCCUUCACUUAGACAUUAUGCUUAAGAUUUAAUAGAAAAAAAUGAGAUUCUUUUCUUUAUCACUACUGUAAGUGUUGGUGAAUGAAUAUAGGCAAUUUGUUCAUUACUUUAAGAAGAUAACACUUGGACAAUAAUUUACUGUUUAUGCAUUGGAGAAAUCAUAACGCUAUUAGAGAGGGAAUACAUUUAUCAUUCUUAUUUUUCAAGAGAUACAUGGACCAUGAGUUUAGAUUCUCUUUUAUUGGAGGUUUAGAUAUCAUGCCUAUAGGGAUUAAGUGGCUUUUCCUAAAAAUUAAUUUAGUAGAAUACAUUUAGGACUUCUCUGGUUAUAUUUUAUGUUAGCCAUGUUAGAUUUCGCUAAGAUGAACCUUUUAACUGCUUUUCUGUAACCCCGACCGAGUUCAAAAUGAAGUAGUAACUUUCCUCGAUUUGUCUAGCUUUGUCAUGGUAGAUUUAGAUGAUUGUUGUAACAAUAUGAUACACAAUGAUUUAGGAUUCCCCUUGUAAGUGUUAAUAAUUUGGCUGAAUGUUGCAUAUAAAUAUUAAAAUAUUUCUAGCAACAAGUAUUGACAGUUCGGUCUCAGAUUUUUUUGACAUUUUGAAGUCAACUUGUAUCUCUUGAUUUGUAAAAUUAGAAUGAAUUGAAAGGGUGCAUCUUGAGUAUUAAGCUCUACUUAGAAAAUUUUUCCACAACUUAGAAUUAUAAAAUCUGUUAGCAUAGUUUAGAUCUUUGAAACAUUAUUUAUUUUCAUCACAAGCUAAUCGUUUGAUUGACAUUCUGGUUCUUGUCUAAAUUAUUGUGUAUUAGUUUGAGAAUUCUCUAUUCUAAUUCUUGUUUAUUUUUUUCUCUUGUUUUGCAUAUGCACUCAGAGCAAACUAUGAGUUUUAUGCGAGACUCCCCCAUACCAGAGCAUGAAGUUAUCACAUGGUAUAUUCCUUAGAGUGCGCCCAAUAGCAAGAAAACAAGCGAAAUGCUUGGGGGCGCCUAUGGCAUCUUUCUUAUCUUCUCUUUAUUUUACGAUUGUUUUAUUUAAUUUCUUGAUGUCUCCUGGUUUAUUUGGUAUUUGUGUUUAUCUCACGCUUAACAUGGGGUUGAAGAUUGAGUCUAUUUAAUUAUAUCUCUUCUUUAGCUAGCAAACAGGGUACCUAUUUUAUCAUAUAAUGUUUACCUAGAUUUCUAAACGUCAAAAACAGUAAUUUGACACUUUCACAAGUCAUUAAAAUGAAGUUUUUCAAAAUAUCCCGUUAACAUCCUUUCUAACAUCAUCAAAUUGAGAUGUUCAGUCCGAGUGUUUUCUAAAAGUUCAAAUGAAAAUUGCUUUUCUUUAACAAGUAGGAAGACUUGUCUCCAAGCGUUCUUCCUUUGAGAUUUAUUUUAAAUUAUUUCUUUCAUCAUGUUAAAACUGAUCUAUUAAAUAUUUUCCUCAAAUCGUCAGAUUUCUUAAGGGACUUAAACAUUUUCCUUAAGAUAUAAGUAGUUAAGUUCCACAGAAGUUAGCCAAUGCUGAAAUUGAAUACUCUCUUGUUUUCUAUCAAGUUAUAUAGUUAGCUAUACAUUAAUACUUUAGCAUAAUAUUCUUUAUUAAUUAACCUAAGUUUGGCCGAUUAACCGUAGUUAACGGAUCAUAUAGGGUGCCUUAAUAACCUUCCCCAUAGGAUUAAUUAGAACCCUUACACAUAAUUUUAAGGUUAAGCAGACCAUAAAACAGAGUUAACUUUAAGCACUAUUUAGCUAAAAUUGGUGUCUUAAUUCACCGUUAAAAUAAUUAGGUGGGGACUCUCUUUAAUUAAUUAAAUCUUUAGAAUUAACAAUAUGUUAUACUCUAGUUUGACUCGUGUUAAAAUGGGGUAUAACAAGUACGCAUACGUCUGUACUUAUCUUCGAGAAGCUAUCGAACCCUUAGGAAAACUUCACAUUCUUGUAUUCUUGUCGUGCGAAUUUGUUGAUUCCGCAAAAUAAACUUCUUUUAUUCUAUUCUCUCACAGAUGGUGAGGACACGUGCUACCAGAUCAGGCGUACGGCCACUAGUACCACCAACUUGGGCCAUGAGAGGCCGAGGCCACGGUAGAGGCCGUGGUGCAACUCGUACAACAGCUAGAACAACACCUGUAGACCCACCAGUUGCUCUGGCUCAGAAGCAGGUUCCAGAUGUGGUUGAGCCGGUGGGACCAGCUUAGGCACCAUCUGUUACCAUUGUGAUUCCAGGCCUUCAGAAGGCUUUGGCUCAGAUAUUGAUUGUUUGCACCAGCCUUGCUCAAGCGGUUUUUGUUCAUAUCGCACUAGCCACUUCUCAGGCUGGAAGAGGUACUCAGACUCCCGCCGCCCGCACUCUAGAGCAGGUGGUGCAGGAACUUUAGACACCGGAGGUACUACCAGCCCAUCUGGUUGUAGGUUCUCAGGCCUAGGUGGGUCCCAUUAUGUGUGAUGAGGAGCAGAAGAGACUAGAGAGAUUUGGGAAGCUCCAGCCUCCAUCAUUCAGUGGGGCUGAGUCAGAGGAUACUAAGGAUUCCUUGGAUAGGUGUCAGCGAAUCUUUGCACGACGGGUAUUCUGUAGAUUAGUGGAGUCUCCUUUACUACUUUUCAGCUAUGAGGGGCUGCCUUCAUAUGGUGGGAUACCUAUGAGAGGAUCAGGCAUGUCGAUACAACAUCACUUUUAUGGCACGAGUUCUUCGUCCUCUUCUUGGAGAAGUUCAGAUACCAUGGAUACUACUAGCCCAUUUGGUUGCAGUUGUUCAAGCCCAGGUAGGUCCCAUUAUGUGUGAUGAGGAUCAAAAGAGACUAGAGAGAUUUGGGAAGCUCUAGCCUCCAUCAUUCAGUGGGGUUGAGGCAGAGGAUGCUCAGGAUUUCUUGGAUAGGUGUUAGCAUAUUCUUCGCACGGUGGGUAUUCUGGAGAUUAGUGGAGUCUCCUUUACUACUUUUCAGCUAUGAGGGGAUGCCUUUAGAUGGUGGGAGGCCAAUGAGAGGAUCAAGACUGUCGGUAAAACACCACUUUCAUGGCAUGAGUUCUUCGUCCUCUUCUUGUAAAAGUUUGUGCCACUGACCCGCAGGAAGGAGCUGCACAGGUAGUUCGAGCAACUACGUUAGAAGGGCAUGUUUGUGACCCAGUAUGAGAUGAGGUUUUCAUAGUUGGCUCGUCAUGCUGUUUGGUUGGUUCCCACUGAGAGGGAGAGGAUUAGGAGGUUCAUUGAUGGUCUUAACUAUCAGCUACAUUUUGUUAUGACUCUAGAGAAUGUUGUAGGUGCUAGGUUCGAUGAGGUGGUUCAUAUUGCUCGGUGGCUAGAGUUGGUUCGGGUGGUUUCAAUGGUGUUCUUUCUGGGGGCCAGUACUACCACAGCAGGGGUCGUCCUUAUAGGCUCGCUCAGAUAGCUCAUCCAGUUCAUCAUGGUGUAUCAUCUAGCCAUGGUUCAUACAGUGCUCAUCCAGGUCAGUCAUCUCUUAGAGCUCUCCCAGCCCAGAGUUCAUCCCGUGCACCAUUAGUUUAGGGUUCAUUUGUGCCAGGUCCAUCUAGCAGUUAUUCUGGUACUCGGGGCCCGAUACAACCCCACCACCACCACCAUAUAGUUGCUUCUAGUGCGGGGAGUUUGGGCAUAUGUAGAGAUAGUGUACCCAUUACUAAAGAUGUUUAGUUCAGCAGAGGAGUCAGGCUACGCCUUCCACACCAGUUACUUCACUACCCACCUAGUCAGCUCGGGGUGGGGCUCAAGCAGCUAGAGGUCACCCUAGAGGGGGAGGCAAAUCAGGUGGUAGUCAAGCUCGAUUUUAUGAUAUUUCAGAUAGGCCAGAGGCUGUUGCUUCGGAUGUAGUGAUCACAAGAAUUGUUUCAGUGUGCCAUAGAGAUGCUUCCACAUUAUUUGACCCUUGUUCUACUUAUUCCUAUGUAUCAUCCUAUUUUACUCAUUAUUUGGAUAUGCCCCGUGAGUCCUUAGUUUCACCUAUUCAUGUAUAUACACCGGUGGGCGAUACUAUUGUUGUGGACCGUGUAUACCGAUCGUGUUUAGUGAUGAUUGGGGAAUUGAAAACUAGAGUUGAUCUCUUAUUUCUUAGUAUGGUUUGUUUUGACGUGAUCUUGGGUAUGGAUUGGUUGUCUCCAUAUCAUGCAUUCUGGAUUGUCACGCUAAGACCGUUCGAGGUUUCCAAGGAUCGAGUGGAGAGGUUCUCUAGAUUAUGUUCCCAGCAGAGUGAUUUCAUAUUUGAAGGCCUAACAGAUGGUUGGGAAGGGGUGUCUGUCAUAUUUGGCUUUUGUGAGAGUUAUUGGUGUAGAUACUCCUACUAUUGAUUCUGUAUCGGUAGUGUGAGACUUUUCGGAUGUGUUUUUUACAGACUUGAUGAGCAUGCCACCCGACAUGAAUAUUGACUUUGGUAUUGACUUGGUAACAGAUGGUUGGGAAAGGGUGUCUGUCAUAUUUGGCCUUUGUGAGAGUUAUUGGUGUAGAUACUCCUACUAUUGAUUCUGUAUCGAUAGUAUGAGACUUUUCGUGUGUGUUUCUUACAGACUUGAUGGGCAUGCCACCCGAAAGAAAUAUUGACUUUGGUAUUAACUUAGUACCAGACACUCAGCCCAUUUCUAUUCCUCUUUAUCGUAUGGCACCAGCUGAGUUGAAGGAAUUGAAAGAGCAACUUCAGAAGCUUCUUGAUAAGGGGUUUAUUAGGCCUAGUGUGUCGCUGUGGGGUGCACCGGUUCUGUUUGUGAAGAAGAAGAAUAGUACUAUGUAUAUGUGUAUCGAUUAUAGGCAGUUGAACAAAGUUACAAUCAAGAACAAGUAACCUUUGCUGCGUAUUAUUGAUCUAUUUGACCAGCUUCAGGGAGCAAGGGUGUUCUCUAAGAUUGAUUUGAGGUCUAGUAUCACUGUUGAAGAUUUGGGACUCGAAUAUCCUGAAGACAACAUUUAGGACCCGUUAUGGUCACUAUGAGUUCCUUGUGAUGUCUUUUGGGUCGACCAACGCCCCAACAACAUUUAUGCAUUUGAUAAACAGUGUAUUUUAGCCAUAUCUUGAUUCAUUUGACAUAGUAUUCAUUGAUGAUAUCCUGGUGUACUCACAUAGCCAGGAGGAGCAUGCCUAGCACUUGAGGAUUGUACUACAAAGGUUAAGGGAGGAGAAGCUUUAUGCCAAGUUCUCCAAGUGUGAGUUUUGGUUCAGUUUGGUGGCAUUCUUGGGGCACGUGGUGUCCAGUGAGGGGAUUAAGGUGGAUCCAAAGAAGAUAGAGGUGGUUAAGAGUUGUCCCAGACCGUCUUCAGCUACUGAGAUUCGAAGCUUUCUCGACUUGGCCAAAUAUUAUCGCCGUUUGUGUAGGAUUUCUUGUCCUUUUAUAGUGCCUUUGACCAAAUUAACCCAGAAAGGUGAUCCGUUCAGGUGGUCGGAUGAGCGUGAGGAGAGCUUUUAGAAGCUCAAGAUUGCCUUGACCACAACUCUAGUUCUAAUUUUGCUUUCAGCGUCAGGCUCUUAUACAGUGUAGUAUGAUGCUUCUUGGAUUGGUAUUGGGUGUGUAUUGAUGUAGGAGGGUAGAGUGAUUGCUUAUGCUUUGCGUAAUUUGAAGCCCCGUGAGAAGAACUACCCUGUCCAUGAUUUGGAGUUGGUAGCCAUCAUUCAUGUAUUGAAGAUUUGGAGGCAUUAUCUCUAUGGUGUGUCUUGUGAGGUAUUUACAGAUCAUCAGAGUCUCUAACACUUGUUCAAAAAAGGAUCUAAAUGUGAGGCAACAAAGAUGGUUGGAGCUGCUAAAGGACUAUGAUAUCACCAUUCUGUAUCAUCCCGGGAAAGCCAAUGUGGUAGCUGAUGCUUUGACUAGGAAGGCGGUGAGUAUGGGUAGCCUUUCUUUUAUUCCUAUUGGUGAGAAGCGAGUAUGGGUAGCCUUGCUUUUAUUCCUGUUGGUGAGAGGCCACUUGCAUCAGAUGUUUAGGCCUUGGCCAAUCAGUCUGUGAGAUUAGAUGUUUUGAAGCCUAGUUGGGUUCUAGCUUGUGUGGUUUCUCGGUUUUCCUUAUAUGAUUGCAUUAUAGGGUGCCAGUAUAAUGAUCCCCAUUUGUUUGUCCUUAAGGACACGGUUCGACACAACGAUGCUAAGGAGGUUACUAUUAGGGAUGAUGGGGUGUUAAGGAUACAGGGUCGUAUUUGUGUGCCUAAUGUAGAUGGAUUGCGUGAGUUGAUUCUUGAUGAGGCCCAUAGUUCGCGGUAUUUCAUUCAUUUGGGUGCAGCAAAGAUGUACCAAGACUUGAGGCAACACUAUUGGUGAAGGAGGAUGAAAAAGGAUAUAGUGGAGGUUUGUAGCUUGGUGCCUAAACUGUCAGUAGGUGAAGUACGAGCAUCAGAGACCGGGCGGAUUACUUUAGAGGCUUGAGAUUCCAGAGUUAAAAUGGGAGCAUAUCACCAUGGAUUUUGUAGUUGGGCUCCCACGGACUUCGAGUAAGUUUGAUGCUAUUUGGGUGAUUGUGGAUCAGUUUACCAAGUUCGUGCAUUUUAUUCCAAUUGAGACUACUUAUUCUUCGAGCGGUUGGCUGAGAUCUACAUCUGCGAGAUUGUUCGCCUUCACAGUGUGUCAUUGUCUAUCAUUUCAGAUUGGGGCAUACAGUUAACAUUGCAGUUUUGGAGAGCAGUGCAGCAAAAGUUGGGCACACAGGUUGAGUUGAGUACAUCAUUUAACCCUCGGAUGGACGGACAAUCUGAGUGCACUAUUUAGAUAUUGGAGGAUAUGCUACGCACUUGUGCCAUAGAUUUUGGGGGUUUAUGGGAUCAGUUUCUAUCACUCGUAGAGUUUGCCUACAACAACAACUACCAAUCGAGCAUUCAGAUGGUUACAUAUGAGGCUUUGUAUGGGAGACAGUGUCGGUCUCCGGUGGGAUGGUUUGAGCUAGGUGAGGCUAGGCUAUUGGGUACUGACUUAGUUCAGGAUGCUUUGGACAAGGUUAAGUUAAUUUAGGAUCGGCUUCGCACGCCGCAGUCUAGACAGAAGAGUUACGCCGAUCAGAAGGUUCGUGAUGUUGCUUACAUGAUGGAGAAGAAGGUACUGCUCAAAGUUUCACCCAUGAAGUGUGUUAUGAGGUUCAGGAAGAAGGGCAAUUUGAGCCCUUGGUAUAUUGGGCCUUUUGAGGUGCUUCAGAGGAUUGGAGAGAUGGCAUACAAGCUUGCAUUGCCGCCUAGUCUAUCGAGUGUUCAUCCAGUAUUCAUGUUUCCAUAUUUCAGAAGCAUGUUAGUGAUCCAUCUCAUAUUUUUGGACUUCAGCACGGUUCAGUUAGAUGGUGAUUUGACUCAUGAUGGGGAACAUGUGGCCAUUUUGGAUCAGCAGGUUCAAAAGUUGAGGUCAAAGAACAUAGCUUCAGUGAAGGUGCAAUGAAGAGGUCAGAAAGUUGAGGAGGCUACUUGGGAGACCGAGUGGGAGAUGCGGAGAAUAUAUCCACGCCAAUUUGAGACUCCAAGUAUGUUUUAGACCUGUUCGAGGACGAAACGUCUAUUUAAGAGGGAGAUGAUGUAACGAUCCAGCCGGUCCUUUUGAGUUGUAAACUCAUUCCCCGAUUUACUGCUUACUAUGCUCAAUUAUUGUUAUGUGACUUGCCGGGGUAGUUGGUUUGUGUCCGGGGAUGUUUCAGAAUGAGUUGAGACACUUAGUCUCAAGGUUGGAAGCUUAAGUUGAAAAGGUUGAUUGAAUAUUAAAUUAUGUGUAAACGACUCUGGAAUGGAGUUUUGAUGGUUCCUAUAGCUUCGUUGGGUGAUUUUGGAGUUAGGACUAUGCCCAGAUAGUGAUUUUUGGAGGUCCGUAGUUGAUUUUUGCUUGAAAUGGCGAAAGUUUGAAAAUUAGAAGUUUUGGAAAUUCAGAAGUUUGACUAAGAGUUGCUUUGUGGUUACCAGGCUCAGAUUUUGGUUCCGAAAGUUGGAAUUAGUCCGUUAUGUCAUUUAUGACUUGUGUACAAAAUUUGAGAUCAAUCGUACAUUAUUUGAUAAGUUUGGGCAUCGAAUGUAGAAGUUAGAAAUGCAUAAGUUCAUUAGGCUUGAAUCGAUGCACGAUUCGUGUUUUUGAUGCUGUUUGAUGUGAUUUGAGGCUUCGACUAAGUUCGUAUGGUAUUUUAGGACUUGUUGGUAUGUUUGGUUGAGGUCCCGGGGGCCUCAGGUGGAUUUCGGAUGGCUAACGGAUUGGAAUUUGGACUUAGGUGAUAGCUGAUGUGGCAGGUCUGGUUUCCUUCUAUGCGAUCGCGUGGAUGGGUCCGCGAUCGCGUAGGCUAAUUUGGGCAGCUGAGGUAUUAUUAUAUGUGAUCGCAAGUUUUGGGCUGCGAUCACAUAAGUUGGAGGAAGCAGUGCAUCGCGAAUGCGUGGGCUAAGCUGCAUUCGCGAAGAGGAAAUAAGGCGGGAGCUGGCCACACAUGUUGUUUUAUGCGAAUGCGUGGGUCUGUCCGCGAUCACGUAGGCAUAGGAAGCCUAUGCAUCGUGUUCACAUGAGUUUCUAUGAGAUCGCGUAGGGUAAGUUCUGGGGCAGUUGAGUUUAUGCUUUGCGAUCGCGAAGUUUUUCCCGCGAUCGCGAAUAAGGGACAUCUAGGCAGAAUUUAAAGUCUCAAAAAUGAGGGUUUGAAUUUAUUUCACAAUUUGAUUUUGGGAGCUCGGAUUGAGGCGACUCUUGGAGAUAUUUCCAAGGGAGUGAUUGAGGUAAGUGAUUCUUAAUUGGUUUUGGUUAUAUUACAUGAAUAUAUCCUUGAUUUCAUCAUUUAAUUAGUGAUUUGGGUUGAAAAAUUGGAAAAAAUGGAGAAAACUUCUUAGGUUGAAUUUUGGGGAUUUGAGCGAGAUUUUGAUAUCGGGUUUGAGUAAUUUUAGUAUGGUUAAACUCAUGGUUGAAUGGGUGUUCGGAUUUUAUAACUUUUAUCGGAUUUUGAGAUGUGGGCCCAGGGGUUACUUAGCAUUUUUCAUAUGGAAUUUAUUUAUAUAGCUUGAGUUGAUUGUAUCAAAUUGUUUGUGGCUAGAUUCAAGGCAUUCGGAGGCCGAUUCGUGAGGCAAGGGCUUGUUGGAGUAGAGAUUUGCACGGUUUGAGGUAAGUAACACUUCCAAACUUGGUUCUGAGGGUAUGAAUCCCUGAAUUAUGUGUUAUGUGGUCGAUGUUGAGGUGACACACAUGCUAGGUGACGAGCGUAUGGGCGUGCACCGUAGGAAUUGUGACUCAGUCGAUUCUGUGGAAUUGAAUAGUUGAAUAACCGCGUUGUUAUCCAUAUAUUCUCCAUGUGUUAGAGAAAUUGAGCUAUGAUUCAUGCUUAGGUUAUAUGUUGGUACUGUUGGGACCCACAGAGGUCCUAUUGCUAUUAAAUUACUUGCUUAAUUUGUAAUUAUGUACUCAGUAAUUUCUAUCAUCCGCAUAUCAUAUCCCAAUCUCUGUUUCCAUUUAUUGAUACUUCAUAUCAUCAUUGUUUGAGCUGAUCUUCAUGACAUUGUGAUCCCGAGAGACUGGAGCAUUUGGUGAUUGAGUGAGGCCGAGGGCCUGAUCGUGAGGAUAUUUAUGGGAUCGGGUUGCGCGCCACAACAACCUUUAUUGAUUUAUUCCAUGAUUGGCUUAUUAUAGCGCUUGGGCUGGAUCAGCCCCUCCAGAAUCUGUACACCUACAAUGAGUGCAAGUAUCUGCUGAGCGCGAGCGCGAGUGCCGAGCGAUUGGGAGGAUUGAGUGACUAUGAGGAUGGAGUGACUGUGAGGACAAAGCGAAUGAGAUGACUGAGUGAUUAAUACUCUGAGAGUAUGCAUAUGAUUUCAUCACUGUUUUGUAUUUCAGUUGGCAUACAUAACUGACAUGUAGAUAUCGAGAUGUAUCAUUUCUUAUUUCAGCUGUACUUGACAUAUCUUACAUGUUUGAGCUUUAAUUAUUAAACUUGAAAGCAUGUCUAUAUUUCUGUAUUGUAUUUCUGUAAUUGAACUGUACCUGUGAGGCUCGUCACUACUUUCAGCCCAAAGGCUAGACUUGUUACUUAUUGAGUUGGUUGUACUCACGAUAUACCCUGCACUUCGUGUGCAGAUCCAGGUGCUUCUGGGUAUGGUGGUCGCUGACUUUAGAGCCACCAUUCAGUUCGGAGAUCCUCGAGGUAGCUGCUUUGGCGUCCGCAAACCUUGAUUCUCCUUCCCCUAUCUUUCAGUUUUAUAUAUUCAGUUCUCUUUUCUUAGUCAGUGUAUCAGACUGUAUCAUUAUAUAGAUGCUAAUGUACUAAGUGACACUCUAGUUUUGGGAAAUUCUGUAUUGAAUUGUGACGUUUUCAUCUAGUUUUAUG
rnacentral:lncRNA from 1 species